GGGGAUUUAGCUCAGUGGUAGAGCGCUUGCCUAGGAAGCGCAAGGCCCUGGGUUCAGUCCCCAGCUCCUCCG
rnacentral:tRNA from 1 species